AUGCAAGUCGAACGAACUCUUCGGAGUUAGUGGCGGACGGGUGAGUAACACGUGGGAACGUGCCUUUUGGUUCGGAAUAACUCAGGGAAACUUGUGCUAAUACCGAAUGUGCCCUUCGGGGGAAAGAUUUAUCGCCAUUAGAGCGGCCCGCGUCUGAUUAGCUAGUUGGUGAGGUAACGGCUCACCAAGGCGACGAUCAGUAGCUGGUCUGAGAGGAUGAUCAGCCACACUGGGACUGAGACACGGCCCAGACUCCUACGGGAGGCAGCAGUGGGGAAUCUUGCGCAAUGGGCGAAAGCCUGACGCAGCCAUGCCGCGUGAAUGAUGAAGGUCUUAGGAUUGUAAAAUUCUUUCACCGGGGACGAUAAUGACGGUACCCGGAGAAGAAGCCCCGGCUAACUUCGUGCCAGCAGCCGCGGUAAUACGAAGGGGGCUAGCGUUGCUCGGAAUUACUGGGCGUAAAGGGCGCGUAGGCGGAUCGUUAAGUCAGGGGUGAAAUCCCGGGGCUCAACCUCGGAAUUGCCCUUGAUACUGGCGAUCUUGAGUAUGAGAGAGGUAUGUGGAACUCCGAGUGUAGAGGUGAAAUUCCUACAUAUUCGGAAGAACACCAGUGGCGAAAGGCAAAAUAAGGGCUCGUUACUGA
rnacentral:rRNA from 1 species